rnacentral:rRNA from 1 species
UACGUAGGGACCAAGCGUUGUUCGGAUUUACUGGGCGUAAAGGGCGCGUAGGCGGCUUGUCAAGUCACUUGUGAAAUCUCUGGGCUUAACCCAGAACGGCCAAGUGAAACUGACAUGCUAGAGUGUGGAAGGGGCAAUCGGAAUUCUUGGUGUAGCGGUGAAAUGCGCAGAUAUCAGGAGGAACACCGGUGGCGAAGGCGGUUCUCUGGGAAUGUCCUGACGCUGAGGAGCGAAAGUGUGGGGAGCGAACAGG